AAUAGAUACCGGGUAGUCCACGCCGUAAACGUUGGAUACUAGGUGUGGCGGUUAUACCAAUGACUGCCGUGCCGAAGCUAACGCAUUAAGUAUCCCGCCUGGGGAGUACGGCCGCAAGGCUAAAACUCAAAGGAAUUGACGGGUCCCCGCACAAGCGGCGGAGCAUGCGGCUUAAUUCGAUGCAACCCGAAGAACCUUACCUGGGUUUGACAUCACGGGAAAAGCUGUAGAAAUACAGUGUCCAUUAGGGCCCGUGACAGGUGGUGCAUGGCUGUCGUCAGCUCGUGUCGUGAGAUGUUGGGUUAAGUCCCGCAACGAGCGCAACCCUUGUCCUAUGUUGCCAGCGGUUCGGCCGGGGACUCAUAGGAGACUGCCGGGGAUAACUCGGAGGAAGGUGAGGACGACGUCAAGUCAUCAUGCCCCUUAUAUCCAGGGCUGCACGCAUGCUACAAUGGCCGGUACAACGGGGCAGCGGCCCCGCGAGGGUGAGCGAAUCCUAAAAGCCGGUCCUAGUUCGGAUUGAAGUCUGCAACUCGACUUC
rnacentral:rRNA from 1 species